GGCUGGCAGGCAGAGAGAAUACUUAGGAGGAGAAAUCUGGGAGGGGAGGAUCAGGAAGAAAAGGAGAGAGGACACCAGGGGCCAACCAUCCAACCACACAGCCAGCCACGGAGGAAGAAGUAAACAAAGGUCGCAGCACCCUGGGGUGAGGAGAGCAAACAACUCUCCUGAAUGUGCGGCAGAGCUGUAUGUGUGCCGACCAGAUUCCAUGCCUCACCCUUAAGUCAGGAGGCGGUGUCGUUCUGUAACUCUGAGGACACAGUGGCCCCUUUCCCACUCUCUCUGAUGCCCAGGAUUACAGCUGUGUGCCAACCACACCCAGCCACACCCAUCCUGACUCUUAACCUGGAGCAGCCCACAUCCACAUCCCGUGGAGAAUUCGCUCUAACACGGACUACUGGCUGCCCGCCAGGAGGCUUCUGAUGCAGGAUGUCUACAACAGAGCUGGACCAGGUCCUUCUACACACGUGCCCAGGCAAUGCUGCCGGUUUGGGGAACCACGGGUUGAGGAAAGAGUGUCUGUCUCCGGGAACCCUUUGUGUGUGUGGCCUGUGAGAGGAAAAGUGGAGGUCUGCCUCUCUGUGUGUAUUUGUGAUCAUCUGAUUUGAUUAUUCUUCCUCCUAAUCCAUUCUACAGGAUUUGGGCAGUGCUAAGAGAAUACACUGAAGAGAUAAAAAGGCAGAGACUGCAUAUUUAACUUCCACAGUGGAAAAUAGUGCUUAACCUUGGUUCUGUUUUUUUGGUUUUUUUUUUCCUGGUAUAUGUCAAAGGAAAUGAGAGGUAUAUAAUACAAAAAGCAGCCAGUGGAAACAGAUCAAGUGUAUUUGCUGGACUCAGAGAAAGGCUCCCAUCAAAGGGGCAGCUCGCUGGCAGGCAUGGACAGAU